UACGGAGGGUGCGAGCGUUAAUCGGAAUUACUGGGCGUAAAGCGCGCGUAGGUGGUUUGAUAAGUCGGAUGUGAAAGCCCUGGGCUCAACCUGGGAAUUGCAUUCGAGACUGUCUGACUCGAGUAUGGGAGAGGGAAGCGGAAUUCCCGGUGUAGCGGUGAAAUGCGUAGAUAUCGGGAGGAACAUCAGUGGCGAAGGCGGCCUUCUGGCCCAGUACUGACACUCAAGUGCGAAAGCGUGGGGAGCAAACAGG
rnacentral:rRNA from 1 species